GUCCUACGGGGGGCAGCAGUGGGGGAUAUUGCACAAUGGGGGAAACCCUGAUGCAGCGACGCCGCGUGAGUGAAGAAGCAUUUCGGUGUGUAAAGCUCUAUCAGCAGGGAAGAAGAAUGACGGUACCUGACUAAGAAGCCCCGGCUAACUACGUGCCAGCAGCCGCGGUAAUACGUAGGGGGCAAGCGUUAUCCGGAUUUACUGGGUGUAAAGGGAGCGUAGACGGCAAUGCAAGCCAGAUGUGAAAACCCGCAGCUCAACUGGGGGAGUGCAUUUGGAACUGUGUAGCUGGAGUGCAGGAGAGG
rnacentral:rRNA from 1 species